rnacentral:tRNA from 1 species
CGUCGGCCUGGCGCGAGCGCGGCGCGCGCGGCUGAUGCUCGCGCACCCUCGGUACUUUCCCGAGGCCUGCGC